rnacentral:rRNA from 1 species
UACAGAGGUCCCGAGCGUUGUUCGGAUUCACUGGGCGUAAAGGGUGCGUAGGUGGCGAUGAAAGUUCGAUGUGAAAUCUCCGGGCUUAACCCGGAAAAGGCAUUGAAAACUAUGUUGCUUGAGGUUUGGAGGGGGACUGGAAUUCUUGGUGUAGCAGUGAAAUGCGUAGAUAUCAAGAGGAACACCAGUGGCGAAGGCGGGUCCCUGGACAACACCUGACACUGAGGCACGAAAGCUAGGGGAGCAAACAGG